rnacentral:rRNA from 1 species
GAUGAACGCUGGCGGUACGCUUAACACAUGCAAGUCGAACGGACUCUUCGGAGUUAGUGGCGGACGGGUGAGCAACGCGUGAGAAUCUGGCUUUGGGUUCGGGACAACCACUGGAAACGGUGGCUAAUACCGGAUGUGCCGAGAGGUAAAAGAGAAAUUGCCUGAAGAUGAGCUCGCGUCUGAUUAGCUAGUUGGUGAGGUAAAGGCUCACCAAGGCAGCGAUCAGUAGCUGGUCUGAGAGGAUGACCAGCCACACUGGGACUGAGACACGGCCCAGACUCCUACGGGAGGCAGCAGUGGGGAAUUUUCCGCAAUGGGCGAAAGCCUGACGGAGCAAUACCGCGUGAGGGAAGAAGGCUCUUGGGUUGUAAACCUCUUUUCUUAGGGAAGAACAAAAUGACGGUACCUAAGGAAUCAGCAUCGGCUAACUCCGUG